CAAAGUAAAGCUAAACUAGAAUAGCAUUUCACUUACACUGAAAAGGAUUAUCGUGCAAACCGAUUUGCUUUGA
rnacentral:tRNA from 1 species